CCUACGGGGGGCUGCAGUGGGGAAUAUUGGACAAUGGGGGGAACCCUGAUCCAGCCAUGCCGCGUGUGUGAAGAAGGCCUUCGGGUUGUAAAGCACUUUCAGUGAGGAAGAACGCCUGGUGGUUAAUACCCAUCAGCAAUGACAUCACUCACAGAAGAAGCACCGGCUAACUCCGUGCCAGCAGCCGCGGUAAUACGGAGGGUGCGAGCGUUAAUCGGAAUUACUGGGCGUAAAGCGCGCGUAGGUGGCUUGAUAAGCCGGUUGUGAAAGCCCCGGGCUCAACCUGGGAACGGCAUCCGGAACUGGCAAGCUAGAGUGUAGAAGAGGGAGGUAGAAUUCCCGGUGUAGCGGUGAAAUGCGUAGAGAUCGGGAGGAAUACCAGUGGCGAAGGCGGCCUUCUGGACUGACACUGACGCUGAGGUGCGAAAGCGUGGGGAGCAAACAGGAUUAGAUACCCGGGUAGUC
rnacentral:rRNA from 1 species